rnacentral:rRNA from 1 species
UGGGGAAUAUUGGGCAAUGGGGGGAACCCUGACCCAGCAACGCCGCGUGAAGGACGAAGGCCUUCGGGUUGUAAACUUCUUUGAACAGGGACGAAACAAAUGACGGUACCUGAAGAACAAGCCACGGCUAACUACGUGCCAGCAGCCGCGGUAAUACGUAGGUGGCGAGCGUUAUCCGGAUUUACUGGGUGUAAAGGGCGUGUAGGCGGACCGGCAAGUCGGGUGUGAAAUCCCCGGGCUUAACUCGGGUAUGUCAUCCGAAACUGCAGGUCUUGAGUACUGGAGAGGAUAGUGGAAUUCCUAGUGUAGCGGUAAAAUGCGUAGAUAUUAGGAGGAACACCAGUGGCGAAGGCGGCUAUCUGGCCAGUAACUGACGCUGAGGCGCGAAAGCGUGGGGAGCAAACAGG